rnacentral:rRNA from 1 species
CCCGCACAAGCGGUGGAGCAUGUGGUUUAAUUCGAUGCAACGCGAAGAACCUUACCUACUCUUGACAUCCUCAGAAGCCGGAAGAGAUUCUGGUGUGCCUUCGGGAACUGAGAGACAGGUGCUGCAUGGCUGUCGUCAGCUCGUGUUGUGAAAUGUUGGGUUAAGUCCCGCAACGAGCGCAACCCUUAUCCUUGUUUGCCAGCACUUCGGGUGGGAACUCCAGGGAGACUGCCGGUGAUAAACCGGAGGAAGGUGGGGACGACGUCAAGUCAUCAUGGCCCUUACGAGUAGGGCUACACACGUGCUACAAUGGUGCAUACAGAGGGCAGCGAGACCGCGAGGUGGAGCGAAUCCCAGAAAGUGCAUCGUAGUCCGGAUUGGAGUCUGCAACUCGACUCCAUGAAGUCGGAAUCGCUAGUAAUCGUGGAUCAGAAUGCCACGGUGAAUACGUUCCCGGGCCUUGUACACACCGCCCGUCACACCAUGGGAGUGGGCUGCACCAGAAGUAGAUAGCUUAACCUACGGGAGGGCGUUUACCACGGUGUGGU